rnacentral:lncRNA from 1 species
UCUGAUAGUAAGCCUAAUCCAAAAUAUUUCAUCAAUAAUACUAUAAUAUUUUGAUUUUUGGCAGCUUGUUCCAUGCAACAUCCAAAUCAAGAUUAUGAACAUUUUCAAACUUUUUAUAAGAUUGAAUUCAGUGAAUGAAAAAUCAGCUUUGAAGUAUGUAUCUCAGUAGAGAGGAGCAUGAGUUCCUAUUGAUCAGAAUAUCAGCUGAAGAUAUAUAAAGUGUUCGAUCAAAUGCUCAAGAAUAUUUACUUGAAAUUUUGUCAUAUUACAAAAGACAAAGGAGAGGAAGAAGAGGAGGAGGAGGAGGAGAAGGCAGCGAACAAGCAAACAAAACGUGUUGGUUUAGCAUGUUUUUGGAGAGGAAUACACUGAAGCAGCUGCCCUGACUCCAUAAGUAGGAGCCACAGGUUGAAGUCAGCAGAGUCGUGCCAGCCUUGGGCCAUCCGUCUACCAGCACUGGACCCUACCUACGCAGGGAGAAAUAAUUAUCGUAAUUAUGCUGUUGGAAAAAAUUUAAUUUUAAGUGUUGUAAAUUUGCAGGUUGUGUCAAGAAACAAAACACACACACUGAACCUCUGAAGUCUCACUCUCCCCUCCCACACCUUCGAGACUAAAUCUUAGACCUUUUGGGACAUGCAGAAGUAGGAGUCUGUGGAACAAUUCACUGCAAUAUUGGGGACAUUGUUAAUUCCUAAUAAAAGUUGCCAAAAAGUUUCUUUGAUUUGUCUC